rnacentral:rRNA from 1 species
UACGAAGGGAGCUAGCGUUGUUCGGAAUCACUGGGCGUAAAGCGCACGUAGGCGGAUGUGUCAGUCAGGGGUGAAAUCCCGGAGCUCAACUUCGGAACUGCCCUUGAUACAGCACGUCUUGAGUCCGGAAGAGGUGGGUGGAAUUCCUAGUGUAGUGGUGAAAUGCGUAGAUAUCGGGGGGAACACCAGUGGCGAAGGCGGCUUCCUGGGGUGUACCUGACGCUGAGGCGCGAAAGCGUGGGGAGCGAACAGG